rnacentral:lncRNA from 1 species
CCUCAAAUCGAAUUGAAGAUUUCUCUCAAAUCUCUCUUUCCAUCGAAUUUCACCCUUCAAAUCGUCCGUUUAGGAACCAACUUCUUCUCCUCUUUCUUCCUCGUUUGGGCAGUUCGAGCUUGCCCUAGAUUCCACAUAUCUUCUCCAAAUCGGUGCUUCACGUCUCCAAAAUCUUGGCUUUUCCACUAGAAUCCUUUCCUCUCUACCUCAUUUAGUCUCCUAAAC